rnacentral:rRNA from 1 species
ACCGGGAUGGACUGGCCGCUGGUGUAUCUGUUGUUUUACCAAGAGCAUAGCAGAGUAGCCAAGCCGGGAAGGGAUAAACGCUGAAGGCAUCUAAGCGUGAAGCCCCCCUCAAGAUGAGAUAUCCCAUGACGUCAAGUCAGUAAGACCCCUUGAAGACGACGAGGUAGAUAGGGCAGAGGUGGAAGUGCAGUAAUGCAUGGAGCUGACUGUUACUAAUAGGUCGAGGGCAUAACCAA